rnacentral:rRNA from 1 species
UGGGGAAUUUUGGACAAUGGGGGCAACCCUGAUCCAGCAAUGCCGCGUGAGUGAAGAAGGCCUUCGGGUUGUAAAGCUCUUUUGUUGGGGAAGAAACGGUAACUUCUAAUAUAGGUUACUACUGACGGUACCCAAAGAAUAAGCACCGGCUAACUACGUGCCAGCAGCCGCGGUAAUACGUAGGGUGCAAGCGUUAAUCGGAAUUACUGGGCGUAAAGCGUGCGCAGGCGGUUGUUUAAGUCAGCUGUGAAAUCCCCGGGCUCAACCUGGGAAUGGCAGUUGAGACUGGACGGCUAGAGUGUGUCAGAGGGGGGUAGAAUUCCACGUGUAGCAGUGAAAUGCGUAGAGAUGUGGAGGAAUACCGAUGGCGAAGGCAGCCCCCUGGGAUAACACUGACGCUCAUGCACGAAAGCGUGGGGAGCAAACAGG